GAUGAACGCUGGCGGCGUGCCUAAUACAUGCAAGUCGAGCGAACGGACGAGAAGCUUGCUUUUCUGAUGUUAGCGGCGGACGGGUGAGUAACACGUGGAUAACCUACCUAUAAGACUGGGAUAACUUCGGGAAACCGGAGCUAAUACCGGAUAAUAUUUUGAACCGCAUGGUUCAAAAGUGAAAGACGGUCUUGCUGUCACUUAUAGAUGGAUCCGCGCUGCAUUAGCUAGUUGGUAAGGUAACGGCUUACCAAGGCAACGAUGCAUAGCCGACCUGAGAGAGUGAUCGGCCACACUGGAACUGAGACACGGUCCAGACUCCUACGGGAGGCAGCAGUAGGGAAUCUUCCGCAGUGGGCGAAAGCCUGACGGAGCAACGCCGCGUGAGUGAUGAAGGUCUUCGGAUCGUAAAACUCUGUUAUUAGGGAAGAACAUAUGUGUAAGUAACUGUGCACAUCUUGACGGUACCUAAUCAGAAAGCCACGGCUAACUACGUG
rnacentral:rRNA from 1 species